AACAGCUUGAGACUAACUUUUCGGCCUAGUCCUAUCUAAAAGUAUCAGCGUUAAUACUUUGAGAAAGGCCUAGGACUAGGCCGAAACGUUAGCCGCAAGCUGUUUUU
rnacentral:pre_miRNA from 1 species